rnacentral:lncRNA from 1 species
AGAUAGGGUUUGAAAUCCACAGUAUUUGGCAGGAUUGCCUGCAUUGAACUUUUUUUGUUUUUUGUUUUUUGUUUUUUUUAUUCUUAGGUUUGGUUUCCCAAGUACUGGGAGUUGAGCAUAGAACCAGUGCUUAGAGGAAAGUGCUGCAGCCACAGCCACAAGCUGCAUUCUAGAUUCAUUUUCAUUUUUGAGGACUUGGGUCUGCGUCUGGAAUCUGCAAUCAGAAAGCCAGCACUUACAACUUUGGCGACUCAACCUCAUAUUGCGACUGUCUCAUUUGCAUGAGAGACUAGAGGUUGGGAGAAACUUCCAUUGUCUCAGCCUCACCAGUGAAAAGAGCAGAAGCCCGGAGGCCAACGCCACAGCAUUUUACUUCUGGUACUUCUGGUGUUUUCAUUUCUAUUGCUAUGAUAAAGCACUCUGACUGACAAGCACACAAAGUCAGGGGAGAAAGGUCCACUUUAGUCCACAGUCACACAGUCUGUCACUUCAGGGAAGUCAUGGUGUAGGGAACUAGAAACAGCUGGCCAUGUAAUAGCCACAGCUAACAGGUAGAGAAUGAAUGCAGGCGUAGGAGCUUGAUGCCCAGCUAUCUGUCUCUACUCUUAACUUAGCUUGGUUCCCCAGACCGGGGAGUAGUGCCACAGACCCUUUCAAGCUGGGUCUUUCCACAGUAAUUAAAAAAGACAAUCUUCCUGGGCCAACCUGAUCUAGACAAAAAUGCAUUGAGACCCUAUUUCCAGGUGACCAUAGGUUGUGGCAAGGUGACAAAUAGAACUAACUGUCACAAUUAACUUUGCAACAGGGAAAAGCUCCAAUCGUGUUCUCCAGAGAAUGGGCACAAUUAAGGCUAAAGGGAUGGUUCAAUGGUAAAGAGCACACACUAUCUUACAGAGGACUGGAAUUUAGUUUCUAGCCCCCCACACUGAGUAGUUAAUAACUGCCUAUAAUUCUAGUUCUAGGGGAGCUGUUGUCCUCUUCUGGAUUCUGAGGGCACUGCACACACACGCACAAAUGCACACACAUGCUCAAAUGCACACACAUCACAAAUGCACACACACACACAAACACACACACACACACACAAACACACUUGAUUUUUAGUAAAAGGAUAUAAGUAACUCCAAUUUUUAUGAAUUGUAAGUAACAAACCAAAAUUUAAAUAUUAAAUUUUUUCCAUAGUAAGUUUUUGUUUUUUUUCCAUAGUGUUUUACUUAAGGAUUAAAGAGAAGACUAAAAGCUGAUGGUGGUCAGUUAACAGUUUAACCAACCCCCCCCCAACAUUAUAAUAGAUA